rnacentral:rRNA from 1 species
UCCGGAUUUAUUGGGCGUAAAGCGAGCGCAGGCGGUUAGAUAAGUNUGAAGUUAAAGGCUGUGGCUUANCCAUAGUACGCUUUGGAAACUGUUUAACUUGAGUGCAGAAGAGGAGAGUGGAAUUCCAUGUGUAGCGGUGAAAUGCGUAGAUAUAUGGAGGAACNCCGGUGGCGAAAGCGGCUCUCUGGUCUGUAACUGACGCUGAGGCUCGAAAGCGUGGGGAGCGAACAGGAUUAGAUACCCUGGUAGUNCACGCCGUAAACGAUGAGUGCUAGGUGUUAGGCCCUUUCCGGGGCUUAGUGCCGCAGCUAACGCAUUAAGCACUCCGCCUGGGGAGUACGACCGCAAGGUUGAAACUCAAAGGAAUUGACGGGGGCCCGCACAAGCGGUGGAGCAUGUGGUUUAAUUCGAAGCAACGCGAAGAACCUUACCAGGUCUUGACAUCCCGAUGCCCGCUCUAGAGAUAGAGUUUUACUUCGGUACAUCGGUGACGGGUGGUGCAUGGUUGUCGUCAGCUCGUGUCGUGAGAUGUUGGGUUAAGUCCCGCAACGAGCGCAACCCUUAUUGUUAGUUGCCAUCAUUCAGUUGGGCACUCUAGCGAGACUGCCGGUAAUAAACCGGAGGAAGGUGGGGAUGACGUCAAAUCAUCAUGCCCCUUAUGACCUGGGCUACACACGUGCUACAAUGGCUGGUACAACGAGUCGCAAGUCGGUGACGGCAAGCUAAUCUCUUAAAGCCAGUCUCAGUUCGGAUUGUAGGCUGCAACUCGCCUACAUGAAGUCGGAAUCGCUAGUAAUCGCGGAUCAGCACGCCGCGGCGAAUACGUUCCCGGGCCUUGUACACACCGCCCGUCACACCACGAGAGUUUGUAACACCCGAAGUCGGUGAGGUANCCUUUUAGGA